rnacentral:misc_RNA from 1 species
GAUGAAGAACGCAGCGAAAUGCGAUAAGUAAUGUGAAUUGCAGAAUUCAGUGAAUCAUCGAGUUUUUGAACGCAUAUUGCGCCCUCUGGUAUUCCGGGGGGCAUGCCUGUUCGAGCGUCAUUAAAUAACCCUCAAGCAUAGCUUGGUGUUGGGCUUUUUUACGUCCUUGACUGGGAUGGGCCUAAAAAUUAGUGGCGAUGGCUUUUUUACUUUCAAGCGUAGUAAAUCUCGUCUUGCUAAAGAGGAAAAAGAUUUUUUUUCUGCCAAAAAUUUUAACAUUUAAAGUUGACCUCGGAUCAGGUAGGGAUACCCGCUGAACUUAAGCAUAUCAAUAAGCGGAGGA